GAACGCUGGCAGCGUGCCUAAUACAUGCAAGUCGAACGCACUCUCGUUUAGAUUGAAGGAGCUUGCUCCUGAUUGAUAAACAUUUGAGUGAGUGGCGGACGGGUGAGUAACACGUGGGUAACCUGCCCUAAAGUGGGGGAUAACAUUUGGAAACAGAUGCUAAUACCGCAUAAAACCUAACACCGCAUGGUGUAGGGUUGAAAGAUGGUUUCGGCUAUCACUUUAGGAUGGACCCGCGGUGCAUUAGUUAGUUGGUGAGGUAAAGGCUCACCAAGACCGUGAUGCAUAGCCGACCCGAGAGGGUAAUCGGCCACACUGGGACUGAGACACGGCCCAGACUCCUACGGGAGGCAGCAGUAGGGAAUCUUCCACAAUGGACGAAAGUCUGAUGGAGCAACGCCGCGUGAGUGAAGAAGGUUUUCGGAUCGUAAAACUCUGUUGUUGGAGAAGAAUGUAUCUGGUAGUAACUGAUCAGGUAGUGACGGUAUCCAACCAGAAAGCCACGGCUAACUACGUG
rnacentral:rRNA from 1 species